rnacentral:rRNA from 1 species
AUUGAACGCUGGCGGCAUGCUUUGCACAUGCAAGUCGAACGGUAGAGGGGGCAACCCCUCGAGAGUGGCGAACGGGUGAGUAAUAUAUCGGAACGUGCCCAGUCGAGGGGGAUAACGUAGCGAAAAUUACGCUAAUAACGCAUAAGAUCUAUGGAUGAAAGCGGGAGAUAGGAAGACCUCGCGCCAUUGGAGCGGCCGAGAUCAGAUUAGGUAGUUGGCGGGGUAAAGGCCCACCAAGCCAACGAUCUGUAGCUGGUCUGAGAGGACGACCAGCCACACUGGAACUGAGACACGGUCCAGACUCCUACGGGAGGCAGCAGUGGGGAAUAUUGGACAAUGGGCGAAAGCCUGAUCCAGCCAUUCCGCGUGCAGGAUGAAGGCCCUCGGGUUGUAAACUGCUUUUGUACAGAACGAAAAGGUUUCUACUAAUACUAGGAGCUCAUGACGGUACUGUAAGAAUAAGCACCGGCUAACUACGUGCCAGCAGCCGCCGUAA